UACGUAGGUGGCAAGCGUUGUCCGGAUUUACUGGGCGUAAAGAGCGCGCAGGCGGUCGAAUAAGUCGAAUGUGAAAGCCCCCGGCUCAACUGGGGAGGGUCAUUCGAUACUGUUCGACUUGAAGGCAGGAGAGAGAAGCAGAAUUCCCGGUGUAGUGGUGAAAUGCGUAGAUAUCAGGAGGAAUACCGAUGGCGAAGGCAGCCCCCUGGGUCGACACUGACGCUCAGGCACGAAAGCGUGGGGAGCAAACAGG
rnacentral:rRNA from 1 species